UAAAAGGCUUUUCAAAGCCACACUCACUUUCAUAAAAACUGGCU
rfam:Macaca mulatta chromosome 7, whole genome shotgun sequence.